rnacentral:rRNA from 9 species
AGCCGCGGUAAUACGGAGGGUGCGAGCGUUAAUCGGAAUUACUGGGCGUAAAGCGCACGCAGGCGGUUAUAUAAGCUAGAUGUGAAAGCCCCGGGCUUAACCUGGGAGAGUCAUUUAGAACUGUAUGACUAGAGUUUUGGAGAGGGGAGUGGAAUUCCAGGUGUAGCGGUGAAAUGCGUAGAUAUCUGGAGGAACAUCAGUGGCGAAGGCGGCUCUCUGGCCAAAAACUGACGCUCAUGUGCGAAAGCGUGGGUAGCGAACAGGAUUAGAUACCCUGGUAGUCCACGCCGUAAACGCUGUCUACUAGCUGUGUGCGGAUUCAUUUCUGUGCGUAGCGAAGCUAACGCGAUAAGUAGACCGCCUGGGGAGUACGGCCGCAAGGUUAAAACUCAAAUGAAUUGACGGGGGCCCGCACAAGCGGUGGAGCAUGUGGUUUAAUUCGAUGCAACGCGAAGAACCUUACCAUCCCUUGACAUCCCGAGAAGGAAGAAGAGAUUUUUCUGUGCCUUCGGGAACUCGGAGACAGGUGCUGCAUGGCUGUCGUCAGCUCGUGUCGUGAGAUGUUGGGUUAAGUCCCGCAACGAGCGCAACCCUUGUCCUUAGUUGCCAGCAUUCAGUUGGGCACUUUAAGGAGACUGCCGGUGACAAACCGGAGGAAGGUGGGGAUGACGUCAAGUCCUCAUGGCCCUUAUGGGUUGGGCUACACACGUGCUACAAUGGCAGGUACAGAGGGAAGCGAGACAGUGAUGUGGAGCGGAGCCCUUAAAGCCUGUCGUAGUCCGGAUUGGAGUCUGCAACUCGACUCCAUGAAGUCGGAAUCGCUAGUAAUCGCAGGUCAGCAUACUGCGGUGAAUACGUUCCCGGGCCUUGUACACACCGCCCGUCACACCAUGGGAGUGGGUUGCAAAAGAAGUG